GCGGGCGUAAUUCAGCGGUAGAAUGUCUCCUUGCCAAGGAGAAUGUCAGGAGUUCGAAUCUCCUCGCCCGCU
rnacentral:tRNA from 1 species